GAAAUGCGAUAAGUAAUGUGAAUUGCAGAAUUCAGUGAAUCAUCGAAUCUUUGAACGCACAUUGCGCCCUCUGGUAUUCCGGAGGGCAUGCCUGUUCGAGCGUCAUUUCAACCCUCAAGCCUGGCUUGGUGAUGGGGCACUGCUUUCGUCCAGAAAGCAGGCCCUGAAAUCUAGUGGCGAGCUCGCCAGGACCCCGAGCGCAGUAGUUAUAUCUCGCUCUGGAAGGCCCUGGCGGUGCCCUGCCGUUAAACCCCCAACUUCUGAAAAUUUGACCUCGGAUCAGGUAGGAAUACCCGCUGAACUUAA
rnacentral:misc_RNA from 1 species